rnacentral:rRNA from 1 species
AGUGAUCGCUGGCGGCGUGCUUAACACAUGCAAGUCGAGCGGGAUCUGCAACGUAUCGCAGGUCUAGCGGCAGACGGGUGAGUAAUAUUUGGGCAAUCUGCCCUUGAGUGGAAAACAACCUGCCGAAAGGCGGGCUAAUGUUCCAUAAGACCACAGGAUGGCAUCAUCCAGGGGUCAAAGCUCCGCAAGGGGCGCUUGAGGAGGAGCCCGAAUCCUAUCAUGGUAGUUGGUGAGGUAAUGGCUCACCAAGCCGUUGACGGGUAGCCGGCCUGAAAGGGUGACCGGCCACACUGGCACUGAGACACGGGCCAGACUCCUACGGGAGGCAGCAGUGGGGAAUUUUGCGCAAUGGGCUAACGCCUGACGCAGCAACGCCGCGUGGAGGAUGAAGGUCCUUGGAUUGUAAACUCCUGUCAGCAGGGAAAAGCGACUUGACCUCAUACGUCAGGGAGUUGAUUGUA